rnacentral:rRNA from 1 species
AUGUCAUUUGGUCUGACUAACGCACCUUCCUAUUUCAUGAACAUGAUGAACAAAGUGUUUAUGGAGUUUCUGGAUAAGUUCGUCGUGGUGUUCAUUGAUGAUAUUUUGGUCUACUCGAAGAAUGAAGAGGAGCAUAAGGAGCAUUUGCGUUUGGUACUUGAGAAGCUCAGAGAACAUCAGUUAUAUGCCAAGUUCAGCAAAUGUGAGUUUUGGUUGAAGGAAGUUGGAUUCCUUGGACAUGUUAUAUCCGGAGAAGGAAUAGCAGUAGAUCCCACCAAAGUUGUCACUUUGACCAAUUGGGUAGCACCAACGAUAGUUGGAGAGAUCCGGAGUUUUCUUGGACUGGCAGGAUAUUACUUGAGAUUCAUUGAGAAUUUCUCGAAGAUUGUGAAGCCCAUGACGGAGUUGUUGAAGAAGGAUACCAAGUUCAAAUGGACUGAGGAAUGUGAGGCCAGUUUCCAGGAGUUGAAGAAACGUUUGGUUACCUCGCCAGUGUUGAUUUUGCGAGAUCAGAGUAAGGAUUACGAGGUGUAUUGUGACGCUUCACGUCAAGGACUUGGAGCAGUGCUUAUGCAGGAGGGAAGAGUUGUUUCGUAUGCUUCACGACAGUUGAAACCUCAUGAGUUGAAUUAUGCCACCCAUGAUUUGGAGUUAGCAGCCGUAGUGCAUGCGUUGAAGACUUGGAGACAUUUUAUCAUUGGAAACCAUUGUGAAGUAUACACGGAUCACAAGAGUUUGAAGUAUAUUUUCACGCAGAAGGAGCUGAAUCUCAGGCAAAGGAGAUGGUUGGAGCUCAUCAAGGAUUAUGAUAUGAGAUUGCAUUAUCAUCCCGGAAAGGCUAACAUAGUAGCCGAUGCGUUGAGCCUCAAGAGCCAUGUCAACACACUAAUGACCGGGGAUUUACCGAAGGAUUUAGCAGAGGACCUUCGUGAGCUAUGUUUGAAGAUAGUUCCGAGGGGCUAUGUAGCAGCAUUGGAGAUUCAAUCUACUUUGAUGGAUAAGAUCAGAAAAGCUCAGAAGACCGACAAGGAGAUUGCCUCUAUAAAGGAGAAGAUGAGCAAAGGAAAAGCUAAAGGAUUUUGUGAGGAUGAGCACGAUACCCUAUGGUUUGAAGACCGGGUUUAUGUGCCUAAUGACCCGGGGAUCAGGAAGUUGAUUCUGCAAGAGUCCCAUGAUUCACCAUAUUCGAUUCACCCAAGAAAUACCAAGAUGUAUUUGGAUUUGAAGGAUACUUUCUGGUGGACCGGAAUGAAGAAGGAUAUUGCGGAGUAUGUAGCAGUUUCUGAUGUAUGUCAGAGAGUAAAGGCGGAGCAUCAGAAGCCAACAGGAUUGUUAUAG